GGAGUUGUACCCAAGUGGUUGUAAGGGACCGCACUCGAAAUGCGGCAGGCCUCGCAAGGGGCGCGAGGGUUCGAAUCCCUCCAACUCCG
rnacentral:tRNA from 1 species